GACGAACGCUGGCGGCGUGCCUAAUACAUGCAAGUAGAACGCUGAAGAGAGGAGCUUGCUCUUCUUGGAUGAGUUGCGAACGGGUGAGUAACGCGUAGGUAACCUGCCUUGUAGCGGGGGAUAACUAUUGGAAACGAUAGCUAAUACCGCAUAACAAUGGAUGACACAUGUCAUUUAUUUGAAAGGGGCAAUUGCUCCACUACAAGAUGGACCUGCGUUGUAUUAGCUAGUAGGUGAGGUAACGGCUCACCUAGGCGACGAUACAUAGCCGACCUGAGAGGGUGAUCGGCCACACUGGGACUGAGACACGGCCCAGACUCCUACGGGAGGCAGCAGUAGGGAAUCUUCGGCAAUGGGGGCAACCCUGACCGAGCAACGCCGCGUGAGUGAAGAAGGUUUUCGGAUCGUAAAGCUCUGUUGUAAGUCAAGAACGAGUGUGAGAGUGGAAAGUUCACACUGUGACGGUAGCUUACCAGAAAGGGACGGCUAACUACGUGCCAGCAGCCGCGGUAAU
rnacentral:rRNA from 1 species